CCGUCCAGCCUCCAGUUCUCACCCCUCUUUCCAAAGCUUUGGAAGAGGGCUUGGGGUGGACAUAGAUUAAAAUGACUCUUAAAAUAGGAGGUUUUCUCAGAGUUCUGAAUUGACCUCAAAGGCACAAGAGCACAUC